AGAGUUUGAUCCUGGCUCAGAGCGAACGCUGGCGGCGUACUUAACACAUGCAAGUCGAACGGGGAUCAACGGUGUAGCAAUACAUCGGUGGUCCUAGUGGCGCACGGGUGAGUAACACGUGGGUAACCUGCCCUUGAGUUCGGGAUACCCCCUCGAAAGGGGGGCUAAUACCGGAUACGUUCCUCGGAUCGACAGGUCUGGGGAGGAAAGGUGGCGCAAGCUGCCGCUCUUGGAGGGGCUCGCGGCCUAUCAGCUAGUUGGCGGGGUAAUGGCCCACCAAGGCUAUGACGGGUAGCUGGUCUGAGAGGACGACCAGCCACACGGGGACUGAGACACGGCCCCGACUCCUACGGGAGGCAGCAGUGGGGAAUUUUCCGCAAUGGGCGAAAGCCUGACGGAGUGACGCCGCGUGUGGGACGAAGGCCUUCGGGUCGUAAACCACUGUCAGUGGGAAAGAAGGGUGUCGACGCUAAUACCGUCGGCAUCUGACGGUACCUGCAGAGGAAGCCCCGGCCAACUCUGUGCCAGCAGCCGCGGUAAGACAGAGGGGGCAAGCGUUGCUCGG
rnacentral:rRNA from 1 species